rnacentral:rRNA from 1 species
AUACGGGGGGGGCUAGCGUUGUCCGGAAUUAUUGGGCGUAAAGGGCGCGUAGGCGGAAUGGUAAGUCAGUGGUGAAAAUCCAGGGCUCAACCCUGGACCUGCCUUUGAUACUGCCAUUCUUGAGUGCGAGAGAGGAAAGUGGAAUUCCCGGUGUAGCGGUGAAAUGCGUAGAUAUCGGGAAGAACACCGGUAGCGAAGGCGGCUUUCUGGCUCGCAACUGACGCUGAGGCGCGAAAGCGUGGGGAGCAAACAGGAUUAGAUACCCGAGUAGUCC